GUGGGGAAUAUUGCGCAAUGGGGGAAACCCUGACGCAGCAACGCCGCGUGAUUGAAGAAGGCCUUCGGGUUGUAAAGAUCUUUAAUUCGGGACGAAAAAAAUGAUGGUACCGAAAGAAUAAGCUCCGGCUAACUACGUGCCAGCAGCCGCGGUAAUACGUAGGGAGCAAGCGUUAUCCGGAUUUACUGGGUGUAAAGGGCGCGCAGGCGGGCUUGCAAGUUGGGAGUGAAAUCCCGGGGCUCAACCCCGGAACUGCUUUCAAAACUGUGAGUCUUGAGUGAUGGAGAGGCAGGCGGAAUUCCCAGUGUAGCGGUGAAAUGCGUAGAUAUUGGGAGGAACACCAGUGGCGAAGGCGGCCUGCUGGACAUUAACUGACGCUGAGGCGCGAAAGCGUGGGGAGCAAACAGGAUUAGAUACCCUGGUAGUCC
rnacentral:rRNA from 1 species